GAAAUGAAGAUCUGUGCAGUUUUUUUAUGUGUAAAAGCUGUGUUGAGCUACAUUACGCAAUUCAAAUAAUUAAAGAAAAACACCCUGUGAACCCAGCGCUGAAGUCAUGGCUCAGCUAACCAUAGAAAUGUUUAACCAGCAAGCGGAAUAGGGUUGCCGCAGCAUACAUUACAGCCAUUACCAGCAAGACUAAACUCUUUUAAUAAAUCCUACCACAGGGCAACAUCUCUGAAAAGAUGCUCGUUGCAACGAUACUGAAAAAUAUUCACUCAGCUCACGUACGCCUUUUCCUAGGUGUAUAAUAUUAUAACAGGAAGAGGGACCUAGCGUCUGUCAUUAUGAAGUUUCGCGUGUCAUUGAGCACCCCCUGCUAAUGCAGUUACGGAAGCAUGUGCCUAGACAGCUUUGCCAAUAUCAGGGGUGGUGUCAUAGGCAACCAGGUGACCUGCUGAAUGGAAGCAAAUUUUAUCCAGAAUGGGACCGUGGAGAAAGCAUUACACAUGCCAUUCUGCAGCAGAUGUGAUUACCAGUGUAAUGAUGAACUGUCAACGUUUAGCAAACCAUAUUUUUCAACCGCUGUUUUUUAGAGUUUCGCCUCUUCAUCAUAUGUGCCUUACUGUUCAUGUUAAUUUAUUCCUGACGUUAUUCCUUUUAGAAACAGGUUAAUUUGUCAUCUUGCCGUUCAAAUUCAUUUCUUUGGUUAAUUUAUACCGCAAACGUGAUUGUAUUUCUCCUCUUAUCACAGUCGUCCUUAAGCGCAUAACAAUAAGUUCUCAGUUGAAAAUAUUUAUCAUGCAGGCCUGCUACCAUAUAGUGCAGUUUUAUGUUGUUCAGUGAAAAUUUUCUUGUUUUUAUUUUUUUACUUGGCUCCUCUGUCGCAAUUGUAAAAACAAUAUCACCAUAUUCAAACAUUUUUUUCUAUUGGCGCAAGCACAACACCGCCCCUUGACAUGUUUUCGCCACUCCAACAAUGGCGUUAUGCUGGCCCACUAUAUCAAAGCUGAUGUGCCAUUGUCUUGCAGAAUACUUAUUUUUCUUUUUCUUAAAAAAAUGGAAAUCAUCAAGCACGUGCAAAGCGCGUCACAGGCCGCAAGGCGUUCUUUCACUCUCGUUCUCUCAUCUUCUAGAGAAAACGUGGCUGAAAUAUAAGAUACGCCCAUUUGCAUUCUGUCCCUUUGAUGGCAAUCAGACCAUCACGAACGCAAGAUCAAAAUUGUAACCGCAAUCGAGAGAAACAACUGAUGAUAGAAUGCGCUUUGCCCUGGCCCAUAUCAUACUGCUACUGUAUUUCAUUGCUUUCCAAGUCACAGCCAACCAACCCACUAUUCAUGCGUUCAAGCAUCCUCCCCAUCGAAGAAGUGAGGUACAACCUAUUCUGCAUAGCAACGGUUUCGAAGAAAAGUAAAAUGUAAGGGCCUCUGCAGGAAACGUAAGAUCAAGCUUCGUCAUCCCAUACGUACCUCGGCAUAGCUCAACCAUAUAUUUAUUGUCUCUAUGACCGAAUAAAUUACCAUGCUGCUGCUUGA